rnacentral:rRNA from 1 species
GACGAACGCUGGCGGCGUGCUUAACACAUGCAAGUCGAACGGAAAGGCCCUGCUUUUGUGGGGUGCUCGAGUGGCGAACGGGUGAGUAACACGUGAGUAACCUGCCCUUGACUUUGGGAUAACUUCAGGAAACUGGGGCUAAUACCGGAUAGGAGCUCCUGCUGCAUGGUGGGGGUUGGAAAGUUUCGGCGGUUGGGGAUGGACUCGCGGCUUAUCAGCUUGUUGGUGGGGUAGUGGCUUACCUAGGCUUUGACGGGUAGCCGGCCUGAGAGGGUGACCGGCCACAUUGGGACUGAGAUACGGCCCAGACUCCUACGGGAGGCAGCAGUGGGGAAUAUUGCACAAUGGGCGGAAGCCUGAUGCAGCAACGCCGCGUGCGGGAUGACGGCCUUCGGGUUGUAAACCGCUUUCGCCUGUGACGAAGCGUGAGCGACGGUAAUGGGUAAAGAAGCACCGGCUAACUACGUG